AUGAUUGUUAGGAAAGCGUCGAGUAGAAAAAGCACUGUGCGCAACGUGACGCCACUGAGAGCUGCCCUGUCCUACAAUUUUCAAAGGCACGGGGCUAAACGCAGUCGAAGCGCUCACCGAGGUCGCCAGCUUUCUAAGUUAAAACCGAUUGGACACAACAAAGACAGUUUCAGAGUUGUAAAGGCCGGUGGAAGAUGUCUGAAUGGCCAGUCGCUGGUUUCCGGGAGCAGGAGAGCUCAUGCUGAGGCCACUGCCUCCGAGGACUUCAGCCAGGACUCCUCAAGUAUAACGAUGCCCUCUGGGGUUUCCAGCUUCUUGCUGGAGUGUUUAGAUGUUGAUUCUCCAGCUUCAAACACGGACACGACGCUCUCAUCCAUCGAGGAGUUUCGCAGAGCUGACAAUAAUGACGAGGUGUUACUGGGUGAAGAUGGGAUGAUGAACACGGUGAAGAACUCAACUCUUCUCGAUCACAGUCAUGCGCAGGAUCUAGCGCUGCAGCAGCCGCCAAACCUCUCCUCCAUUCUUGAGCUAUCGAUAAACCCUGCUGAAGAAAAAUCGUUUUCUUUGUCACCCAUGUGCCUCUCUCCUUUACCGGUGCCCUCUGAAACAUCAGAUAUUGCAUCAGGAUGUGUGUUAGAAUCCGCUAACGAGAGAACGCCUGUAAAUACUAGGGUUUUAGUUCUUCCCCCUGUUGUGAAAAAGUGUUUUACAGAAAAGGAACAACCAGUGAAAUGCAGAAAAGUGACGUUCAGCGAUAUAGUGAGCAUUCGAAACGUUUCAAGCCAUAAACGUGGUAAGGCAGACCAGCAGGAUUGUGGAGGAAAGCUGGUUAAAGCGAGCGGAAGAGUGUCAGCGAGAUCCAGAGACGUUUCCUCGAGGACUGGGAAGUUUUUUGACUUUUCAGAUGAGCAUGAGAGAGAAGCCUUUUUCCAGAGACUCAAACAAACACACGUGUUCAAGUUUCCAGCCAAACCGAUCAUCUCAAUCUGAGAGGACUUAAGUUGAAACAAGCAAAACAAUAUCCCUUCUCUUGCUUUUUCAUAUCUGACCAGCAGAGGACAUCCAACACUUCUUCAACGUGGUUGCUUUACAGUUCUACAAAUAUCUGAAUUGAAGUGAAUGGCCAUGGAGUGUUUUUAAGAGCACGUGAGACUCUUUAUUAAACACUAGAGCUAAAAAGUAUACAAUAAUAUUAGAACAUACCUAUGUAAAAUGAAGUUCAAAUUGAUUAUGUACUUAAUGGAUGAUCUUAGCGCGGAAUCAUCAAAAUGAGAAAAACAAUGCCUUGCGGUGCUCGUGGAACAGGUUUUUUACAUGCAUUAGAGAACCUUACACAUCAAAAUGAUAUUAGAUGUUUGUAUAAAAAAUGAAUAAAUAUUAAAAACACGAAUGCAGAACUUCCUUAAUGUGAAAUUGCUCAUUCUUUUAGUUUCUCUGUGUAUCACCAAGCAUAAAAAUAAUUAAAUGCCCGUGAUUAAAUGCAUCUAUCUUAAUUUUAACCCCAACAAAACAUAAACACAGACGUUCUGACCACGUGGUCUAUGAUCUAUAAUAUCAACCAAUCGGGAAGGCGGAGGGGAGCGAAGCGAAUUAUCGACCAAUCAGAGAGCAGCGAUGUUGCCAAGCAGCUCGUUUGA
rnacentral:lncRNA from 1 species